GACGAACGCUGGCGGCGUGCUUAACACAUGCAAGUCGAACGGAAAGGCCCUGCUUUUGUGGGGUGCCCGAGUGGCGAACGGGUGAGUAACACGCGAGUAACCUGCCCUUGCCUUUGGGAUAACUUCAGGAAACUCCGGCCAAUACCGUACAGAUGUUCCUGCUCCAGGGUGGGGCUGGGAAAGUUUCGGCGGUUGGGGAUGGACUCGCGGCUUAUUAGCUUGUUGGCGGGGUAGUGGCUUACCAAGGCUUUGACGGGUAGCCGGCCGGGGAGGGUGACCGGCCACAUUGGGACUGAGAUACGGCCCAGACUCCUACGGGAGGCAGCAGUGGGGAAUAUUGCACAAUGGGCGGAAGCCUGAUGCAGCAACGCCGCGUGCGGGAUGACGGCCUUCGGGUUGUAAACCGCUUUCGCCUGUGACGAAGCGUGAGUGACGGUAAUGGGUAAAGAAGCACCGGCUAACUACGUG
rnacentral:rRNA from 1 species